rnacentral:rRNA from 1 species
GACGAACGCUGGCGGCGUGCUUAACACAUGCAAGUCGAGCGAUGAAGCUCCUUCGGGAGCGGAUUAGCGGCGGACGGGUGAGUAACACGUGGGUAACCUGCCUCAUAGAGGGGAAUAGCCUUUCGAAAGGAAGAUUAAUACCGCAUAAGAUUGUAGUGCCGCAUGGCAUAGCAAUUAAAGGAGUAAUCCGCUAUGAGAUGGACCCGCGUCGCAUUAGCUAGUUGGUGAGGUAACGGCUCACCAAGGCGACGAUGCGUAGCCGACCUGAGAGGGUGAUCGGCCACAUUGGGACUGAGACACGGCCCAGACUCCUACGGGAGGCAGCAGUGGGGAAUAUUGCACAAUGGGGGAAACCCUGAUGCAGCAACGCCGCGUGAGUGAUGACGGUCUUCGGAUUGUAAAGCUCUGUCUUCAGGGACGAUAAUGACGGUACCUGAGGAGGAAGCCACGGCUAACUACGUGCCAGCCGCCGCUGUAA